rnacentral:rRNA from 1 species
GCCAUGCACCACCUGUACACCGACCACAAGGGGGGCACCAUCUCUGAUGCUUUCCGGUGUAUGUCAAGCCUUGGUAAGGUUCUUCGCGUUGCGUCGAAUUAAGCCACAUGCUCCGCCGCUUGUGCGGGCCCCCGUCAAUUCCUUUGAGUUUUAGCCUUGCGGCCGUACUCCCCAGGCGGGGCACUUAAUGCGUUAGCUGCGGCACGGACAACGUGGAAUGUUGCCCACACCUAGUGCCCACCGUUUACGGCGUGGACUACCAGGGUAUCUAAUCCUGUUCGCUCCCCACGCUUUCGCUCCUCAGCGUCAGUAUCGGCCCAGAGAUCCGCCUUCGCCACCGGUGUUCCUCCUGAUAUCUGCGCAUUUCACCGCUACACCAGGAAUUCCGAUCUCCCCUACCGAACUCUAGCCUGCCCGUAUCGACUGCAGACCCGGGGUUAAGCCCCGGGCUUUCACAACCGACGCGACAAGCCGCCUACGAGCUCUUUACGCCCAAUAAUUCCGGACAACGCUUGCGCCCUACGUAUUACCGCGGCUGCUGGCACGUAGUUAGCCGGCGCUUCUUCUGCAGGUACCGUCACUUUCGCUUCUUCCCUGCUGAAAGAGGUUUACAACCCGAAGGCCGUCAUCCCUCACGCGGCGUCGCUGCAUCAGGCUUUCGCCCAUUGUGCAAUAUUCCCCACUGCUGCCUCCCGUAGGAGUCUGGGCCGUGUCUCA